GACGAACGCUGGCGGCGUGCUUAACACAUGCAAGUCGAGCGAGUGAGUUCUCUUCGGAGAACGAUCUAGCGGCGGACGGGUGAGUAACACGUGGGCAACCUGCCUUGUAGAGGGGGAUAGCCUUCCGAAAGGAAGAUUAAUACCCCGUACUAUUAUAGAGUGGCAUCACUUUGUAAUUAAAGCUCCGGCGCUUGAUGAUGGGUGUGCGCCUGAUUAGGUAGUUGGCGGGGUAACGGCCCACCAAGCCUUCGAUCAGUAACUGGUGUGAGAGCACGACCAGUCACACGGGCACUGAGACACGUGCCCGACUCCUACGGGAGGCAGCAGUAAGGAAUAUUGGUCAAUGGACGCAAGUCUGAACCAGCCAUGCCGCGUGGAGGAUGAAGGUCCUCUGGAUUGUAAACUUCUUUUAUCUGGGAAGAAAUCCAUCUUUUCUAAGGUGGUUGACGGUACCAGAUGAAUAAGCACCGGCUAACUCCGUGCCAGCAGCCGCCGUAAUAC
rnacentral:rRNA from 1 species